rnacentral:rRNA from 1 species
UACGGAGGAUGCGAGCGUUAUCCGGAUUUAUUGGGUUUAAAGGGUGCGUAGGCGGGCUUUUAAGUCAGCGGUAAAAAUUCGGGCUCAACUUGAGUGCUGCAUUUCAAACUGGAAGUCUAGAGUGCAGGAGAGGAGAAUGGAAUUCCUAGUGUAGCGGUGAAAUGCGUAGAGAUUAGGAAGAACACCAGUGGCGAAGGCGAUUCUCUGGACUGUAACUGACGCUGAGGCUCGAAAGCGUGGGGAGCAAACAGG